rnacentral:rRNA from 1 species
UGAGGAAUAUUGGUCAAUGGGCGCGAGCCUGAACCAGCCAAGCCGCGUGAGGGAAGAAGGCGCUAAGCGUCGUAAACCUCUUUUGUCAGGGGACAAAAAGUCGUACGCGUACGAUAUUGAGUGUACCUGAAGAAAAAGCAUCGGCUAACUCCGUGCCAGCAGCCGCGGUAAUACGGAAGGUCCGGGCGUUAUCCGGAUUUAUUGGGUUUAAAGGGAGCGUAGGCGGACUUUCAAGUCAGUGGUAAAAUCGUGUGGCUCAACCAUACCUCGCCAUUGAAACUGGAAGUCUGGAGUGCACACAGGGGUGCCGGAAUUCAUGGUGUAGCGGUGAAAUGCUUAGAUAUCAUGAAGAACUCCGAUCGCGAAGGCAAGUGCCCGGGGUGCAACUGACGCUGAGGCUCGAAGGUGCGGGUAUCGAACAGGAUUAGAUACC